rnacentral:rRNA from 1 species
GACGAACCGUCCUAACGUUGUUCGGAAUCACUGGGCGUAAAGCGCACGUAGGCGGAUUGCUAAGUCAGGGGUGAAAUCCUGGAGCUCAACUCCAGAACUGCCUUUGAUACUGGCGAUCUCGAGUCCGGGAGAGGUGAGUGGAACUGCGAGUGUAGAGGUGAAAUUCGUAGAUAUUCGCAAGAACACCAGUGGCGAAGGCGGCUCACUGGCCCGGUACUGACGCUGAGGUGCGAAAGCGUGGGGAGCAAACAGG